GAACGCUGGCGGCGUGCCUAAUACAUGCAAGUCGAACGAACUUCCGUUAAUUGAUUAUGACGUACUUGUACUGAUUGAGAUUUUAACACGAAGUGAGUGGCGAACGGGUGAGUAACACGUGGGUAACCUGCCCAGAAGUAGGGGAUAACACCUGGAAACAGAUGCUAAUACCGUAUAACAGAGAAAACCGCAUGGUUUUCUUUUAAAAGAUGGCUCUGCUAUCACUUCUGGAUGGACCCGCGGCGUAUUAGCUAGUUGGUGAGGUAAAGGCUCACCAAGGCAGUGAUACGUAGCCGACCUGAGAGGGUAAUCGGCCACAUUGGGACUGAGACACGGCCCAGACUCCUACGGGAGGCAGCAGUAGGGAAUCUUCCACAAUGGACGCAAGUCUGAUGGAGCAACGCCGCGUGAGUGAAGAAGGGUUUCGGCUCGUAAAGCUCUGUUGUUAAAGAAGAACGUGGGUAAGAGUAACUGUUUACCCAGUGACGGUAUUUAACCAGAAAGCCACGGCUAACUACGUGCCAGCAGCCGCGGUAAUACGUAGGUGGCAAGCGUUAUCCGGAUUUAUUGGGCGUAAAGCGAGCGCAGGCGGUCUUUUAAGUCUAAUGUGAAAGCCUUCGGCUCAACCGAAGAAGUGCAUUGGAAACUGGGAGACUUGAGUGCAGAAGAGGACAGUGGAACUCCAUGUGUAGCGGUGAAAUGCGUAGAUAUAUGGAAGAACACCAGUGGCGAAGGCGGCUGUCUGGUCUGCAACUGACGCUGAGGCUCGAAAGCAUGGGUAGCGAACAGGAUUAGAUACCCUGGUAGUCCAUGCCGUAAACGAUGAUUACUAAGUGUUGGAGGGUUUCCGCCCUUCAGUGCUGCAGCUAACGCAUUAAGUAAUCCGCCUGGGGAGUACGACCGCAAGGUUGAAACUCAAAAGAAUUGACGGGGGCCCGCACAAGCGGUGGAGCAUGUGGUUUAAUUCGAAGCUACGCGAAGAACCUUACCAGGUCUUGACAUCUUCUGACAGUCUAAGAGAUUAGAGGUUCCCUUCGGGGACAGAAUGACAGGUGGUGCAUGGUUGUCGUCAGCUCGUGUCGUGAGAUGUUGGGUUAAGUCCCGCAACGAGCGCAACCCUUAUUACUAGUUGCCAGCAUUAAGUUGGGCACUCUAGUGAGACUGCCGGUGACAAACCGGAGGAAGGUGGGGACGACGUCAAAUCAUCAUGCCCCUUAUGACCUGGGCUACACACGUGCUACAAUGGAUGGUACAACGAGUCGCGAGACCGCGAGGUUAAGCUAAUCUCUUAAAACCAUUCUCAGUUCGGACUGUAGGCUGCAACUCGCCUACACGAAGUCGGAAUCGCUAGUAAUCGCGGAUCAGCAU
rnacentral:rRNA from 1 species